rnacentral:lncRNA from 1 species
AUCUCAACCUCUUUUUAACAAUAAAUACAUAAACUGAACUACUUUUGGAUUGAUAUGCAGGAAAUUUAUUUCAUCCAGCCAGUCUCUGUCCAGGGAAGUUUACAGAUGUGAUUUUGACUCCUCACAUCAUGUCUAGCAGAGUGCUCUACAACCUUUCCUGGCAGUCCUCUCCAGCGACACACUAAGGAAAUGAUCCACUGAGGGUCAUAUCAGAUGUCACUAAGAGCUUGGCGUAAACUGGCCAUUUUAAUUGCCUCUCUAGACUGUCUCCAGUUGAUACAUUCUUGGCCUGCACCUCAAUCAUGCGGAAACUCCAUAAAUGUUUGUUAAAUCAAAGAGUGGUGGUGACUUCUAGUGAUCCCCAUCUGUACAAUGAUAGUAUUCAUCUCUUAGUUAAGAAAGGACUACCAUGGUAAGACGUUUGCUGUUGCUCUUUGACUGCACCAUGGCUUCUAGCUUUACUGACUCCAUGGACACUCUAGAUUUGACAAUCUAGUUUUUACUGAAGACUUCAACAAGCCUGGCACCAGUGAAGCAGACAUGGAGGAGAAAGCCACUGUGUCUCUUGGGACUGGAAAACUAAGAAGCAGCAGUGAGAACUCUGAAAAUGCCAAGUAAGUGUUGGUCGUGAGGAAAACAAAACACCCACACUCAAUGGCAUUGACUGCAGCGCCAUCUGAAAUAAACAUCUGACGUAGGCUAAGCUCA